GAGAAGCAGAAACUCAUUCAGAAAUAUAAGGAGGCAAUGAGCAACAAGACAUGCAGGCUGGACUGUCCAAGGUCAAGGUGCUAGCAAGGCGAGAAAACUGAGUUUGCUAUUUCAUCUACACCAGAUAAAUGGUAAUCUGUGGAGGCAGAAUUGCUAGACCAUCAGUAUGCAGAUGAUGAACAAAUAAGUUGAGGGGAAACAUUCUACAAGGUUUAACUAUUGAAUCAAAAGUCCAUCCACUGUGGGAUGAAUCACAGCGGAGAGUGAUCAGAUAAGACCAGUGACCAAUAUUGGAAAAAACAGGUGGGAAGAUUGCUCAAUAAAAGGAAAAACAUCUUAUACUGAAGGUUAUUAUAAAAUGAAAUUG
ensembl:lncRNA